rnacentral:rRNA from 1 species
CCUAUGGGGGGCAGCAGUGGGGAAUAUUGCACAAUGGGCGAAAGCCUGAUGCAGCAACGCCGCGUGAAGGAAGAAGGGUUUCGGCUCGUAAACUUCUGUCAACAGGGACGAAAGAGAUGACGGUACCUGAGUAAGAAGCCGCGGCUAACUACGUGCCAGCAGCCGCGGUAAUACGUAGGGGGCAAGCGUUAAACGGAAUUACUGGGUGUAAAGGGUGAGUAGGCGGCAUGGUAAGCGAGAUGUGAAAGCCUUGGGCUUAACCCGCGAAUUGCAUUUGGUACUAUGAGGCUAGAGUACGGGAGAGGAAGGCGGAAUUCCUGGUGUAGCGGUGAAAUGCGUAGAUAUUAGGAAGAACACCAGUGGCGAAGGCGGCUUUCUGGACCGAAACUGACGCUGAGGCACGAAAGCGUGGGGAGCGAACAGGAUUAGAUACCCCGGUAGUC